rnacentral:rRNA from 1 species
AGGUUUCCGUAGGUGAACCUGCGGAAGGAUCAUUAC